GUGAGUAAUGUCUGGGAAACUGCCUGAUGGAGGGGGAUAACUACUGGAAACGGUUUAGCUAAUACCGCAUAACGUCGCAAGACCAAAGAGGGGACCUUCGGGCCUCUUGCCAUCAGAUGUGCCCAGAUGGGAUUAGCUAAUAGGUGGGGUAACGGCUCACCUAGGCGACGAUCCCUAGCUGGUCUGAGAGGAUGACCAGCCACACUGGAACUGAGACACGGUCCAG
rnacentral:rRNA from 1 species